rnacentral:rRNA from 1 species
UGGGGAAUUUUGGACAAUGGGGGAAACCCUGAUCCAGCCAUCCCGCGUGUGCGAUGAAGGCCUUCGGGUUGUAAAGCACUUUUGGCAGGAAAGAAACGGCAUGGGUUAAUACCCCGUGAAACUGACGGUACCUGCAGAAUAAGCACCGGCUAACUACGUGCCAGCAGCCGCGGUAAUACGUAGGGUGCAAGCGUUAAUCGGAAUUACUGGGCGUAAAGCGUGCGCAGGCGGUUCGGAAAGAAAGAUGUGAAAUCCCAGAGCUCAACUUUGGGACUGCAUUUUUAACUGCCGGGCUAGAGGGUGUCAGAGGCAGGUGGAAUUCCGCGUGUAGCAGUGAAAUGCGUAGAUAUGCGGAGGAACACCGAUGGCGAAGGCAGCCACCUGGGAUAACACUGACGCUGAUGCACGAAAGCGUGGGGAGCAAACAGG